AGUUGACAGAUUUUCAGUGUGUUAUGAAUUUUUCUUUGAAGUUAGAUUUCUUUAUAGCAUAUAUUUUAGAAUAAAAAUUACAAAAUUUAUUUCUAUUUUGCAGAGGAUUUGCUGACAGUGUUUUCAGAUGCUGAACCUACUUCUGCUACUAAUGUUUUGAUUUUGAAGGAGUUGGAGCGGGACAUUUACAAUGCAACAUAUGUGGAAAAAUUUUAUCUAGCAGACAACGUCUUAAAAUGCAUAUUUUUACACAUUCUGACAUUCGCACUGUAUAUAAAUGUGACAUGUGUAAUUGUGACUUUGUAUGGAGAGAUAAUCUGCUGCGUCACAUGAGAAUGAAGCAUAACAAGAUGCCUUUAGAUUAAUUAAGGAAAACUUAUUUAUAUUUGUAGUAUUCAGUCUAAAGAUGAAUAAAUUUGUAAUACAAUUUAGUGAAAUAAAAAGUUGGAUUGUUUUAUGAAUUAAACUAUAUUUACUUUUGCAGUUAGUGUAAGAAUGUGAAACAAAAAACAUGUGAAGAAGGUUUUAAGCUGAAAAUAAAAUUCUAGAAAGUGAUAAGCCAGUUUGACUGAUCCUGAAAAAUAUGCAGAUAAUUUUAUCUGUUGCAAAAAAAAAAAAAAAAAAAA